rnacentral:tRNA from 1 species
AAAAAGAUAAGCUAAAAAAGCUAUUGGGCUCAUAACCCACUUAUGAAUUUAAAAAAUUCUCUUUUUA